GCUGCUAUAGCUCAGCAGGUAGAGCGCAUCCUUGGUAAGGAUGAGGUCAGCAGUCCGAAUCUGCUUAGCAGCUCCA
rnacentral:tRNA from 2 species